rnacentral:lncRNA from 1 species
AGGCAAUUAGCAAUAUUUAUAAAGCAUUCCAACAUAAAUAUAAUUUAUUCAUAAUACCACCACACAACUAUGUAUAAAUAUAAAACACAACUAUGUAUAAAUACAAAACAAAAACAAAACUAUGGAUUCAAACUAUCCGCCACUUUUUUUUUUGGAAAGGCUAAAAAGGAUUGAAUUAAUAAAGAUAAAGAUGGGCAUGAGACAUGCUUAGAAUACAAAAGAGUUUCUACAAGCCAACUAGCUGCCUGGCACCAAACAACACCCAUCUAGAUAGCCAAACUUAAUGUCAGCUACCACCCCAAUUCUUUACAGCACCAACCCCAACCACAAGGACAAAAUCCUACAACACAGGGUGACAAAUUCACCAAUACAAAUAGGAUAUGCACUGCUAGCUUGACAGAAGCAGUAAUUUGAGCUCAACCUAAACCCCACAUAAUUAUCUUCUGCUGAAUCUGACUACAGCUGAACCAUAGUGAAACCAUGGAUAUAAAUUGGACAGCAAAAUUCGGAACGCCAACACAAAACACACAAACAAUAUACACACUUGCAGAAACACUUCUGCACCAGUUAUAGACACUAAUUUUUGGUGUUCUCACUUAUGUGAGACUUCUUAAUUUCCAACAAAUAGUACAAUGAAUUAGAAAACUAGUGAAAACAGAUAAAUAUAUAGCAAUAAGCACAAAUCACCUAGAUUCAACUAAUAUACAACAUCUAAAACACCACCACACAAGAAACAAAACUACACACAACUAUGACCAGAAGACCACCAACCACUGAAUGUGAAGAUGGCGGUGGUAGCGGCGAAGAGAAUUUUGAAAACUAUAAACAACUAAACGAAAGGGGAAAUUGGAAUGAGAAUCAUUGAAUAAUCGAACUGAAACUUGAACUAACCUUGGAAUUUGAAGACCAAAAGCGGUGGGUGAAUCGUCAUCUGUGCGAUAGAAGUUGGCCCUGUUCGUGUGAGACAAAUCAAUUUAGGGUUCCUGCAGAGAGAAUGUCUGUGUGUUAGGGUUUUUUUGUGAAUGAAAAACAAGAGAGGGAAAGGAAAUUUGUGCUUUUAAGGCAUACCUCUAUUGAAUCCUGAUCCAAACAAAUGUUUCAAAACUGGUGAACAGUAGAUAAAUGAGGCAGCCAAUUUGAUCAUCAAACAUAACAAGUUGAAUUAUAGCAGUACCUUCCUCAGAUAAGCCUGUGGAGAAGAAAUUAAAGUAACAUGCUGCAGUUUUAAACUAAUCAUGGAAAUACUAGAAUUUUUGCAUUACAUGUCUCUGCCAACUUAGUUGUUGUAAAAUAGGUCAAAUUCUUUCGCUAGUUAAGUGAUAAAAGCAUCAAGGCAAUUGACAAACCAUGUUUCAGCACAACGUUAUACUAUUGAAAAUAAUAUUUACUCUUCAUAGCCAACAAUUUACUCUAAUAAAAUGCCAAGGUUAAGCUACAAAUGAAAAGCAACAAAGGAUGAGCAUUGCAUCCAAAGGGUUGAACUGGGGAAAAAAAAAGUCCAAACUUGAAAAGAACCCAAUCUGUAAGCCAUAACCUUUGAGAUGGGUUACAAGGUCAGGUCUAUCUCUCAUUAGUCAAUAUCAGUGGUAACAGCAGCAAUCACAACGAUGUGUAGCGUAGAAGAGGUCCGGCGCUACACAAAAUGUUGUGGCAGAUCUGUCAUGUAUUGCUGCUAUAGCGCUGCACGUGGAAGCAAAAUCGCAGAAGAAACACGCAGAAACCGUGAAGAUGAACUAAACUAUAAACAACUAAACGAAAGGGGAAAUUGGAAUGAGAAUCAUUGAAUAAUCGAACUGGAACUUGAACUAACCUUGGAAUUUGAAGACCAAAAGCGGUGGGUGAAUCGUCGUCUGUGCGAUAGAAGCUGGCCCUGUUCGUGUGAGACAAAUC